AAGUCGUAACAAGGUAACCGUAGGUGAACCUGCGGUUGGAUCAUUAAUAUAAUGACGCUUUUAUUGUGAGAUGAGUGAGUUUACUUGCUGCACUCGCUUUAAAAGUGACUAACCAUUUGUGCACUGUGAUGUUUUUUGGGUCUAGCGUUAAACCUAGGCCCUGCCAUUAUGAAAACCAUUUUUAAACUUGACUAAAAUUUUAAAUAUAAAAAUUUAAAACUAUAGACAACGGAUCUCUUGGUUCUC
rnacentral:misc_RNA from 1 species